rnacentral:rRNA from 1 species
AAAUUGAAGAGUUUGAUCAUGGCUCAGAUUGAACGCUGGCGGCAGGCCUAACACAUGCAAGUCGAACGGUAACAGGAAUCAGCUUGCUGAUUCGCUGACGAGUGGCGGACGGGUGAGUAAUGUCUGGGAAACUGCCUGAUGGAGGGGGAUAACUACUGGAAACGGUAGCUAAUACCGCAUAAUGUCGCAAGACCAAAGAGGGGGACCUUCGGGCCUCUUGCCAUCGGAUGUGCCCAGAUGGGAUUAGCUUGUUGGUGAGGUAACGGCUCACCAAGGCGACGAUCCCUAGCUGGUCUGAGAGGAUGACCAGCCACACUGGAACUGAGACACGGUCCAGACUCCUACGGGAGGCAGCAGUGGGGAAUAUUGCACAAUGGGCGCAAGCCUGAUGCAGCCAUGCCGCGUGUAUGAAGAAGGCCUUCGGGUUGUAAAGUACUUUCAGCGGGGAGGAAGGGAGUAAAGUUAAUACCUUUGCUCAUUGACGUUACCCGCAGAAGAAGCACCGGCUAACUCCGUGCCAGCAGCCGCGGUAAUACGGAGGGUGCAAGCGUUAAUCGGAAUUACUGGGCGUAAAGCGCACGCAGGCGGUUUGUUAAGUCAGAUGUGAAAUCCCCGGGCUCAACCUGGGAACUGCAUCUGAUACUGGCAAGCUUGAGUCUCGUAGAGGGGGGUAGAAUUCCAGGUGUAGCGGUGAAAUGCGUAGAGAUCUGGAGGAAUACCGGUGGCGAAGGCGGCCCCCUGGACGAAGACUGACGCUCAGGUGCGAAAGCGUGGGGAGCAAACAGGAUUAGAUACCCUGGUAGUCCACGCCGUAAACGAUGUCGACUUGGAGGUUGUGCCCUUGAGGCGUGGCUUCCGGAGCUAACGCGUUAAGUCGACCGCCUGGGGAGUACGGCCGCAAGGUUAAAACUCAAAUGAAUUGACGGGGGCCCGCACAAGCGGUGGAGCAUGUGGUUUAAUUCGAUGCAACGCGAAGAACCUUACCUGGUCUUGACAUCCACGGAAGUUUUCAGAGAUGAGAAUGUGCCUUCGGGAACCGUGAGACAGGUGCUGCAUGGCUGUCGUCAGCUCGUGUUGUGAAAUGUUGGGUUAAGUCCCGCAACGAGCGCAACCCUUAUCCUUUGUUGCCAGCGGUCCGGCCGGGAACUCAAAGGAGACUGCCAGUGAUAAACUGGAGGAAGGUGGGGACGACGUCAAGUCAUCAUGGCCCUUACGACCAGGGCUACACACGUGCUACAAUGGCGCAUACAAAGAGAAGCGACCUCGCGAGAGCAAGCGGACCUCAUAAAGUGCGUCGUAGUCCGGAUUGGAGUCUGCAACUCGACUCCAUGAAGUCGGAAUCGCUAGUAAUCGUGGAUCAGAAUGCCACGGUGAAUACGUUCCCGGGCCUUGUACACACCGCCCGUCACACCAUGGGAGUGGGUUGCAAAAGAAGUAGGUAGCUUAACCUUCGGGAGGGCGCUUACCACUUUGUGAUUCAUGACUGGGGUGAAGUCGUAACAAGGUAACCGUAGGGGAACCUGCGGUUGGAUCACCUCCUUACCUUAAAGAAGC